rnacentral:rRNA from 1 species
GAGGCGAUGAAGGACGUGCUAAUCUGCGAUAAGCGUCGGUAAGGUGAUAUGAACCGUUAUAACCGGCGAUUUCCGAAUGGGGAAACCCAGUGUGUUUCGACACACUAUCAUUAACUGAAUCCAUAGGUUAAUGAGGCGAACCGGGGGAACUGAAACAUCUAAGUACCCCGAGGAAAAGAAAUCAACCGAGAUUCCCCCAGUAGCGGCGAGCGAACGGGGAGCAGCCCAGAGCCUGAAUCAGUAUGUGUGUUAGUGGAAGCGUCUGGAAAGGCGCGCGAUACAGGGUGACAGCCCCGUACACAAAAAUGCACAUGCUGUGAGCUCGAUGAGUAGGGCGGGACACGUGGUAUCCUGUCUGAAUAUGGGGGGACCAUCCUCCAAGGCUAAAUACUCCUGACUGACCGAUAGUGAACCAGUACCGUGAGGGAAAGGCGAAAAGAACCCCGGCGAGGGGAGUGAAAAAGAACCUGAAACCGUGUACGUACAAGCAGUGGGAGCACGCUUAGGCGUGUGACUGCGUACCUUUUGUAUAAUGGGUCAGCGACUUAUAUUCUGUAGCAAGGUUAACCGAAUAGGGGAGCCGAAGGGAAACCGAGUCUUAACUGGGCGUUAAGUUGCAGGGUAUAGACCCGAAACCCGGUGAUCUAGCCAUGGGCAGGUUGAAGGUUGGGUAACACUAACUGGAGGACCGAACCGACUAAUGUUGAAAAAUUAGCGGAUGACUUGUGGCUGGGGGUGAAAGGCCAAUCAAACCGGGAGAUAGCUGGUUCUCCCCGAAAGCUAUUUAGGUAGCGCCUCGUGAAUUCAUCUCCGGGGGUAGAGCACUGUUUCGGCAAGGGGGUCAUCCCGACUUACCAACCCGAUGCAAACUGCGAAUACCGGAGAAUGUUAUCACGGGAGACACACGGCGGGUGCUAACGUCCGUCGUGAAGAGGGAAACAACCCAGACCGCCAGCUAAGGUCCCAAAGUCAUGGUUAAGUGGGAAACGAUGUGGGAAGGCCCAGACAGCCAGGAUGUUGGCUUAGAAGCAGCCAUCAUUUAAAGAAAGCGUAAUAGCUCACUGGUCGAGUCGGCCUGCGCGGAA